rnacentral:tRNA from 1 species
GCAAAUAUAGUUUUAACUAAAACAUUAGAUUGUGAUUCUAAAAAUAGAAGUUAAAAUCUUCUUAUUUACC